AUUGAACGCUGGCGGCAGGCCUAACACAUGCAAGUCGAGCGGAUGAAGGGAGCUUGCUCCUGGAUUCAGCGGCGGACGGGUGAGUAAUGCCUAGGAAUCUGCCUGGUAGUGGGGGAUAACGUCCGGAAACGGGCGCUAAUACCGCAUACGUCCUGAGGGAGAAAGUGGGGGAUCUUCGGACCUCACGCUAUCAGAUGAGCCUAGGUCGGAUUAGCUAGCUGGUGGGGUAAAGGCCUACCAAGGCGACGAUCCGUAACUGGUCUGAGAGGAUGAUCAGUCACACUGGAACUGAGACACGGUCCAGACUCCUACGGGAGGCAGCAGUGGGGAAUAUUGGACAAUGGGCGAAAGCCUGAUCCAGCCAUGCCGCGUGUGUGAAGAAGGUCUUCGGAUUGUAAAGCACUUUAAGUCGGGAGGAAGGGCAGUAAGUUAAUACCUUGCUGUUUUGACGUUACCAACAGAAUAAGCACCGGCUAACUUCGUG
rnacentral:rRNA from 1 species